rnacentral:rRNA from 1 species
CAAAAACAUCGCCUCUUGAUUAAACAUAAGAGGUCCAGCCUGCCCAGUGACAUAGUUUAACGGCCGCGGUACCCUAACCGUGCGAAGGUAGCAUAAUCACUUGUUCUUUAAAUAGGGACUCGUAUCAACGGCAUCACGAGGGCUAUACUGUCUCCUUUCUCCAAUCAAUGAAACUGAUCUCCCCGUGAAGAAGCGGGGAUUAACCUAUAAGACGAGAAGACCCCAUGGAGCUUCAAACUCAACAUACACCUCUACGCACUUAAACCACUUUAGCCCAAGAGACCUCUAUGUUAGUUUUGGGUUGGGGGGACCGCGGAGUAAAAAUUAACCUCCACGACAAACGGGCUUUAUGCCCUUAUCCACGAACCACAGCUCUAAGAAUCAAUAAACUGAUGUUUAUGACCCGAUUAUUCGAUCAACGAACCAAGUUACCCUGGGGAUAACAGCGCAAUCUACUUCAAGAGCCCCUAUCGACAAGUAGGUUUACGACCUCGAUGUUGGAUCAGGGUAUCCUAGUGGUGCAGCCGCUACUAAUGGUUCGUUUGUUCAACGAUUAAAACCCUACGUGAUCUGAGU